rnacentral:rRNA from 1 species
UGAAAGCUCCCGGCUCAACCGGGAGAGAACGUGCGAAACUGCGAGGCUAGAGACAGGUAGAGGCGUACGGAAUUCCGGGUGUAGUGGUGAAAUGCGUAGAUAUCCGGAGGAACACCAGUGGCGAAGACGGUACGCUGGGCCUGGUCUGACGCUAAGACGCGAAAGCAUGGGGAGCGAACGGGAUUAGAAACCCCGGUAGUCCAUGCCGUAAACGAUGCUAACUAGGUGUUGCGGGUAAAAGACCGGCAGUGCCGGAGUUAACGCGAUAAGUUAGCCACCUGGGGAAUACGGUCGCAAGGAUAAAACUCAAAGGAAUUGACGGGGGCCCGCACAAGCAGCGGAGCGUGUGGUUUAAUUCGAGGCUGCACGAAGAACAUUACCUGGGCUUGACAUGACGGUGGUAGGGAACCGAAAGGGGACCGACCUUCGGGAGCCGUCACAGGUGCUGCAUGGCAGUCGUCAGCUCGUGUCGUGAGAUGUUCGGUUAAGUCCAGGUAACGAGCGCAACCCUCAUCGCUAGUUACAAGUGUCUAGCGAGAAUGUCCCGUUCAACGCGGGAGGAAGGCGGGGAUGACGUCAAGUCAGCAUGGCCAUUAUGUCCAGGGUUACACACACGCUACAAUGGCCGGUACAAUGGGUCGCCAACCCGCGAGGGGGAGCCAAUCCACCAAAGCCGGUCACAGUUCGAAUUGCAGGCUGCAACCCGCCUGCAUGAAGUCGGAGUUGAUAGUAACCGCAGGUCAGCUAUACUGCGGUGAGUACGUUCCCGGGCGUUGUACACACCGCCCGUCACGUCAUGGGAG